GAUUAGAGAAGGAACAUCUACCUGGUGUUUUUUUCUUUGUAAGAGAGCAGGAAGAGGAAUAGGGAAUGUAGUGAUAAGUUAUAGCACUAAGAUGAGGAUGCCUGGGCAGUAGGAACUGUUCAAGACAGAAUAGUUUAAAAGAGGAUGGACAAUUUUAUGGGCCGUAUUGAAGAAGUUUGAGAGGGCAGAGAAACGGAAAUAUUACGU
rnacentral:lncRNA from 1 species